rnacentral:piRNA from 1 species
AGGAAUUCAGUUUCUCAUUUGCUGUGGACA